CAAUUUGUCCUUAAUAAAGGAGUUCACCAGGGGGAUUUGAUUACACUCUAUAAGGAUGUUGAAGCAGAAGCUUCGUAUAAGAUCGAAGUUCAGAGAAAAAUCAAGUUAUUAGGCAAGGAGUGCUGGUAUAAUCUGGAACCAGACCAACCUACAGGCGCAACAGCACAAGAUAAGAGAAAAUUCCUGUUAUUUGGCAAGGAGUGCGGCUAUUUUCUGGAACCAGAACAACCAACAGACGCAACAGGAGAAGUUAUUCAAGACUAGUAGUCCUGCCGGAUGUUUAACAAUAUAUGAUUGUUAGGUAUGGUAUGAUGUUUCUGGAGCUGAUUUCAUGACUAGCAGUUUGUGAAACAUAUCUUAGCAGUCUGAAAUGAAU
rnacentral:lncRNA from 1 species